ACUUUUAGUCUCUACACCACCAUACACACGUACUUACUUUUUGACACAUGCAAACAUAAUAAAUAAAAACUAGAAAACGUUCAGUUAGAGCAUUUGAUUUUUUUGUUAAUAUAUAAAAUCUAUAUACUGGACAAAAUUCAAUUUUCAAAGACUAAUCUAUAAAAUCUAAAAAAAAAAAACACUGAAACCCAACCAAUGUCUUCACAGCUACUCUGCCACUCAUGUCUUGUGACCUUUGACCAAAGCAGAACUCCUAAUAAAACUACGACUACUAAUAGUUAUAUUUUGUAACUAGGACAAUGUGAUAUGUGUCCUCUCAUCUGUCAUCUGAUGACCAUUAAUUUUGGUCCCUGAUGCCUCCGGUUCCAAUUUGAUUGAUUUACUAGUGAACUAUAUAUAUUCAGCUUACAGUAACUCAUCGUCAAAUCAUCUUCUCCUGCUCUAGCGCUUGCAGUGGCAACAUACGUAGGCUUAGAAUGUAUAUAUUGCAUUAAUUUGUUGU
rnacentral:lncRNA from 1 species